AACGUACGCUGGCGGCACGCCUAACACAUGCAAGUCGAACGAAGUAGCAAUACUUAGUGGCAGACGGGUGAGUAACAUGUAGGUAUCUGCCCUUUGGCCUGGAAUAACACGAGGAAACUUGUGCUAAUACCGGAUAAGUCUUUACGGAGAAAGCUUUAUGCACCAUUGGAUGAGCCUGCACUUGAUUAGUUUGUUGGUGGGGUAAUGGCCUACCAAGACUGUGAUCAAUAGCUGAUUUGAGAGGAUGAUCAGCCACAUUGGGACUGAGACACGGCCCAAACUCCUACGGGAGGCAGCAGUGGGGAAUCUUGCACAAUGGAGGAAACUCUGAUGCAGCGAUGCCGCGUGAGUGAAGAAGGCCCUUGGGUUGUAAAGCUCUUUCGUCGGGGAAGAAAAUGACUGUACCCGAAUAAGAAGGUCCGGCUAACUUCGUGCCAGCAGCCGCGGUAAUACGAAGGGACCUAGCGUAGUUCGGAAUUACUGGGCUUAAAGAGUUCGUAGGUGGUUGAAAAAGUUAGUGGUGAAAUCCCAGAGCUUAACUCUGGAACUGCCAUUAAAACUUUUCAGCUAGAGUAUGAUAGAGGAAAGCAGAAUUUCUAGUGUAGAGGUGAAAUUCGUAGAUAUUAGAAAGAAUACCAAUUGCGAAGGCAGCUUUCUGGAUCAUUACUGACACUGAGGAACGAAAGCAUGGGUAGCGAAGAGGAUUAGAUACCCUCGUAGUCCAUGCCGUAAACGAUGUGUGUUAGACGUUGGAAAUUUAUUUUCAGUGUCGCAGGGAAACCGAUAAACACACCGCCUGGGGAGUACGACCGCAAGGUUAAAACUCAAAUGAAUUGACGGGGACCCGCACAAGUAGUGGAGCAUGUGGUUUAAUUCGAAGAUACGCGCAGAACCUUACCAACACUUGACAUGUUCGUCGCGACUCUAAGAGAUUAGACUUUUCGGUUCGGCCGGACGAAACACAGGUGCUGCAUGGCUGUCGUCAGCUCGUGUCGUGAGAUGUUGGGUUAAGUCCCGCAACGAGCGCAACCCUCACUUUUAGUUGCCAUCAUUAAGUUGGGCACUCUGAAAGAACUGCCAGUGAUAAGCUGGAGGAAGGUGGGGAUGACGUCAAGUCCUCAUGGCCCUUACGUGUUGGGCUACACACGUGCUACAAUGGUAUCUACAACAGGAAGCAAGACUGCGAAGUUAAGCAAAUCCCUAAAAGAUACCUCAGUUCGGAUUGCACUCUGCAACUCGAGUGCAUGAAGCUGGAAUUACUAGUAAUCGUGGAUCAGCGUGCCACGGUGAAUGCGUUCCCGGGUCU
rnacentral:rRNA from 1 species